GAUGAACGCUGGCGGCGUGCCUAAUACAUGCAAGUCGAGCGAACAGAUAAGGAGCUUGCUCCUUUGACGUUAGCGGCGGACGGGUGAGUAACACGUGGGUAACCUACCUAUAAGACUGGGAUAACUUCGGGAAACCGGAGCUAAUACCGGAUAACAUUUGGAACCGCAUGGUUCUAAAGUGAAAGAUGGUUUUGCUAUCACUUAUAGAUGGACCCGCGCCGUAUUAGCUAGUUGGUAUGGUAACGGCUUACCAAGGCGACGGUACGUAGCCGACCUGAGAGGGUGAUCGGCCACACUGGAACUGAGACACGGUCCAGACUCCUACGGGAGGCAGCAGUAGGGAAUCUUCCGCAAUGGGCGAAAGCCUGACGGAGCAACGCCGCGUGAGUGAUGAAGGGUUUCGGCUCGUAAAACUCUGUUAUUAGGGAAGAACAAAUGUGUAAGUAACUGUGCACGUCUUGACGGUACCUAAUCAGAAAGCCACGGCUAACUACGUG
rnacentral:rRNA from 1 species